rnacentral:rRNA from 1 species
ACAUAUCAAUAAGCGGAGGAAAAGAAACCAACAGGGAUUGCCCUAGUAACGGCGAGUGAAGCGGCAACAGCUCAAAUUUGAAAUCUGGCUCUCGGGCCCGAGUUGUAAUUUGUAGAGGAUACUUUUGAUGCGGUGCCUUCCGAGUUCCCUGGAACGGGACGCCAUAGAGGGUGAGAGCCCCGUCUGGUUGGAUGCCAAAUCUCUGUAAAGUUCCUUCAACGAGUCGAGUAGUUUGGGAAUGCUGCUCUAAAUGGGAGGUAUAUGUCUUCUAAAGCUAAAUACCGGCCAGAGACCGAUAGCGCACAAGUAGAGUGAUCGAAAGAUGAAAAGCACUUUGAAAAGAGAGUUAAAAAGUACGUGAAAUUGUUGAAAGGGAAGCGUUUAUGACCAGACUUGGGCUUGGUUAAUCAUCUGGGGUUCUCCCCAGUGCACUUUUCCAGCUCAGGCCAGCAUCAGUUUUCCCCGGGGGAUAAAGGCGGAGGGAAUGUGGCUCUCUUCGGGGAGUGUUAUAGCCCACCGUGUAAUACCCUGGGGGGGACUGAGGUUCGCGCAUCUGCAAGGAUGCUGGCGUAAUGGUCAUCAACGACCCGUCUUGAAACACGGACCAAGGAGUCGUCUUCGUAUGCGAGUGUUCGGGUGUCAAACCCCUACGCGUAAUUAAAGUGAACGCAGGUGAGAGCUUCGGCGCAUCAUCGACCGAUCCUGAUGUUCUCGGAUGGAUUUGAGUAAGAGCAUACGGGGCCGGACCCGAAAGAAGGUGAACUAUGCCUGUAUAGGGUGAAGCCAGAGGAAACUCUGGUGGAGGCUCGCAGCGGUUCUGACGUGCAAAUCGAUCGUCAAAUAUGGGCAUGGGGGCGAAAGACUAAU